rnacentral:lncRNA from 1 species
UAAAUUGUGUGUGAUUCAUUAACCAUAACAAGUAUAUACACACAGACACACACACCACACACACACACACACAUACACACAGGCUUAGAAGUGCUGAAGAGGUGUGAGCACAUUCUGGAUCUUGGGCUAACUGCCUUUUUAUGUCUUUCCAGGAUGUCAGGGAUUCUUGAUGCAGGGUGACUGCUAACUCUUCCUGAAGGUUUCCCUGUUUUAUCCUGAGUGUGUGUCUGACCUACACUGUCUUCUUCACCAUACUCAGAAACAUGUUAGUCCCAGCCACUUUCUGGAAUUAGAACAUGGGAUUUGAGGUCAAGCAGGUGUGGGUUCAAAUUGCCUCUGUCAGUUACCAAUGGCAGGAUAUUCACCUAACAUUUCAAAAUCACAAUAGCGUGGAUAAAAAAUGCCAACCUCACAGGACCAAUUUGGGAGUUAUGUAUAAACACAAAGACACAUGUGCAUAUACACAUAUUCACAUGUGCACAUUCAAGGCACGUACACAUGUGCACAUACACAUAUACAUACACAUACACACUCAUGCACACACAUAUACACACACAUACAUAUGACAGAAGGAGAACCUGACACACGGUAUUCCUGUGAGAGGACAAACUUAGCGUUGCAUCAUGCAAUAAGAGUAAUUGAACAACACCCUGAUUACAUGUGGUACAAAUUCUAAUUUUCUAAUUUGUUGUCCUUUUACUUAUGAUAACUGCUUUGCAUACUCGAGAUGAAUCGUUUAAAGCUGAUGUGAGUGAGCAUAUCCAACAACAAUCCUAGCGCCUGCUGUGGAUCAGCUGUGCUCCAGUUGAAUGUACCUGUGCAGAUCCCUCUUGGAAACAUGCCCCAUGCCUUCGUUCUGCAGUAACUUGCUCUUCUCAGCUCUAUUUUUGGAGGCCUCAGGGCACUGAUUUUGAAUCUGGGCACCUCUGAAUUGUCACUUCUGACCAACAAGCAGUCUACUUUGUCAACACCUUUUCUUCUGGGACUUGUGUUGCCUGCCUGCUGGAAUUUUUCUCAUCUAGUCCUGCCUUCCACACUCCCCCCAUUAGAGAUGAACUCUUCCUGCGGGGCUGUUUGGCUCCUGGCUGGUCCGCUGGGGCUGUCCCUCAGACUCUGACCUCCCUCGGGCACCGACUUCAUGAAAACACAGCCCUAUCUGAGGGGCACCUGCCCAUGAAGCUGCUCUUCCUAAGCUUUGCAGUACCUGCCACAUUGUCUCCCCACUGCUAAUCAUAUUCUCUCUGCUAUGGUUGUUUAACAUUUUCUUCACAUUUAUAAGCAAUUUUGCGUUACAGAAUCAAAAGACCUUCACAUUAUGUCUUAUUCCCACCACGAAAUUUUAGGUUCUCUAAAUUGUGAGUACUCCUUAUGAUACUCCACAUGAUAAAUAUAUGUGAAAUACAUUUUUAGAAAUAUAAAUAUGGAAUUGUAUGCACACACAUAGAUCUUUUGGGAACUGGCUCAUUGGUCAUACCAAUUUUGGAAAAUAAUUAAUAAAAAUGUAAAGCCAAUGAAAACGUCAA